rnacentral:rRNA from 1 species
ACUGCUCAGUAACACGUGGAUAACCUGCCCUUGGGUCCGGCAUAACCCCGGGAAACUGGGGAUAAUACCGGAUAUUUAGGAGUUCCUGGAAUGGUCUUCUAUUUAAAGUUCAGGCGCCUAAGGAUGGAUCUGCGGCAGAUUAGGUAGUUGGUGGGGUAAUGGCCCACCAAGCCUUUGAUCUGUACGGGUUGUGAGAGCAAGAGCCCGGAGAUGGAUUCUGAGACAUGAAUCCAGGCCCUACGGGGCGCAGCAGGCGCGAAAACUUUACAAUGCGGGAAACCGUGAUAAGGGGACACCGAGUGCCAGCGUCAUACGCUGGCUGUCCGGGUGUGUAAAAUACACCUGUUAGCAAGGGCCGGGCAAGACCGGUGCCAGCCGCCGCGGUAACACCGGCGGCCCGAGUGGUGAUCGUGAUUAUUGGGUCUAAAGGGUCCGUAGCCGGUUUGGUCAGUCCUCCGGGAAAUCUGAUAGCUUAACUAUUAGGCUUUCGGGGGAUACUGCCAGACUUGGAACCGGGAGAGGUAAGAGGUACUACAGGGGUAGGAGUGAAAUCUUGUAAUCCCUGUGGGACCACCUGUGGCGAAGGCGUCUUACCAGAACGGGUUCGACGGUGAGGGACGAAAGCUGGGGGCACGAACCGGAUUAGAUACCCGGGUAGUCCCAGCCGUAAACGAUGCUCGCUAGGUGUCAGGCAUGGCGCGACCGUGUCUGGUGCCGCAGGGAAGCCGUGAAGCGAGCCACCUGGGAAGUACGGCCGCAAGGCUGAAACUUAAAGGAAUUGGCGGGGGAGCAC